GAAUCUCCUCCUACAGACUGCAGAGCUGCUGGACUCCAGCUGUGAACAUCAGGACCAACAUUUCACCCGUGGAAAGAUGGAAAACCUGGCUGUGAUCUACUUCUUCUCGGCUCUUGUAGGUCAGAGCUUGGAAGCUGAUAUUACUGCCAUCAGAUCUGAAAUAUUUCCAUCAGAGGGAGACAGAGUCACUCUGUCCUGCAACUAUUCAGUUAAAGCCGACAACCUUCAGUGGUAUCGACAAGAUCCUGGAUCAGCUCCUCGCUUCCUUCUCCUGAUCACUGAUACUAAAGAUCCAACUGUGGUGGAAGCAGAACCUCCAAACCCUCGACUGACUGCAGGACUGAACAAGGAGAGAAACCGAGUGGAUCUGCUGAUCUCCUCUGCUGCAGUGACAGACUCUGCUGUGUACUACUGCGCUCUGCAGCCCACAGUGACAGGAAACACCAGAACCCUGUACAAAAACCUGCAGUACUCCACAGCAGCCACUAGAGGGCCUCACUCCCUGUUAAACCACUAAAACCUGCAGUACUCCACAGCAGCCACUAGAGGGCCUCACUCCCUGUUAAACCACUAAAACCUGCAGUACUCCACAGCAGCCACUAGAGGGCCUCACUCCCUGUUAAUCUACUGGUUGUUGAGUCUUUGGACUGAAGACAAAGACAACAGAGACAUGAAGCAGUAAAGAUCAGAGACAGAGCUGCUGAGGAAGCAGAAAACUCUCUGAUUGGUUGAGUUGAAGUGGCCCCGCCCACUGACCUUCAGCUCAUCCAAUGACAUCAUUUCUUCCUCGUUCUGCUGCAACAUUGUUGAUCUGCUGUGUUCUCAGUUUAACUUUGGGACAGCUCCUGCGUCUCCUGUCCUUUAGGAAGGUUAACAGAUAACAGACGACUGAUUACAGAACCACUGCAACUGUCACAUGCCAAUGUGCCGCUGGGCAAGGCAUUUAACCCCAGGUAGCCUGAGAUCUGAGUUGCAUGUGAAUGUGUUUCACAUGGUGCAGGUCCAGUGGAAGACGAACACAUCGGCAUUUCUUUGCUCUCCUGCAGACGACGGUGGACACAGAAGAUAUCGUCUGAUUUUGAAGUGAAUCUCUUGGUGGAAACGAGUUCACUGCUGAAACGGUCCGAAAGGAUCUUUAAUGAGGUCUGAUUAUUUCGACAUACUGAGUGUCAUCAGGACAAGGUCUAAAGUCUGAUGACAGAAGUGGGCAGGUCUGUGGAUUCUGUGAGUAAAACCAACUGAGUGUAAGACAAUAUUGAUGUGACAGAAUAAACAUGAUGUGACAUGUUA